GACAGAGAGAUAGCAGAUAAAGGGGGGAGAGAGAGGGAGGCGAGACAGAGACAGAGAGAGGCAGAGAGAGAGACAGAGACAGAGAAUCAUUGUUCCACUUAGCAGAGGAGAGGCCUCUGGCUCGGCCCCAGUGGAGUGUGAGAGAGGAGUUCACUGGGGGAGGACACAGGACAUUUGGGGUCACUGUCACAGGGAGGGGCUUUCCAGCCUGACCAGGGAGCGAUUAGUGAGCCAAGAGACAGGAGAGGAGGAUGGGGCCUGCAAGACUGAGGAAGAAGCUCUUGGUAAGCGCUCCUGGUACCAGCUGGCUGGGAGGAGAACCAGAAGCAGCUACCUGUGACCCAGCCAGUUGGGACUUAGGCGGCUGCACAAGAAAGCAAUUUGCCUGCCUCUUGCUCCAAAGACCCUUUACUGAAAUCAGCAUGUAACAUUUUAGUCCUCCAUUUGAAUAAAUUUCAGCUCUGCUGAUGGCUGAUGAGGUAAAGGAUUCACAGGGACAAGAACUCUUCCCAGCCACAAAAGAGGUUCCAACUGACCACUGCGGACGUCCUCAGGGCUGCUGUCCCAUCUUCUUCUGGCAACCUUGGUGUCUGAGGUGUGGAUCAUGUCCUUAUUGAUGUAGAAGUCCACCUCAGAAGCAGACUGGAACUCGCCGUCCAGGGUGGAGAUGCCACUGGUCCACACUAGGUUCUUCAUCUUGUGCUUGAAGACAAGCAGCUGAAUGCGGAACUCCUGCUCAGUGAGGUCCAGGAAGCCAGCCAGCUUGGCCACAGGCAUGGUGGUGUAGAGCUUGAGGAAGCUGCGGAUGGUGAGAGCUGGGCCUGCUGCUGCACCUCGUUGGAGAACACCUUGAGCUGCUGCAGGAAGGGCUCCUUGUGGUAGUUAGGGUGCACGUUGUCCAUGGGUGACAGGAACUUGGGGCAGGAGUAGCUGAAGAGCUCCUCGUAGACCUGCGGGUCGCCCUUCUGCAUGCGCAGCAUUUUGUCCCCAUACUUCUCCCGCAGCUGCAGGUGGAUGCUCUCGUCCAUCCGCAUGGGGUACCUGGUGAGGGCGAUGGCCAGCAGCGCGUGCAUCUGCUCGUUCUGCUUGUUGAUCAUCUCAUACUUGUACGUGGUCCUCUGGAACAUGCUCUUGGUCCUCUGGAUGUAAAGGAGGAUGUUGGCAAAGACCCAGAUGGCAUCCUGGUAGCGUCGCAUCAUCAAAUAUGCAAACCCCACAUAGUAGUAGGUGGUGACCUGGCACUCGGGCACACGGGAGUACAUACUCUUUUUGUUCAGCUCAAUGUUCUCCAGCACCUUGAUGGCCUGGUAGUAAUCCCCCAGCAGCGAGUGCAGGUGCAGCAGUCCCACUAGGCUGAAGUAGCCCAGCAUCUUGUAGAGGGAGUGACAUCCAUACUCCCCUGCCACACUCUCGGGGUCACCUCCGCUCGUGUACACCUCCAGCUGCCGGUUGAUGUUGGAUUUGUCCACCAGGGAGUGAAGGAUGUUGAGGACACUGUGGACAUUCCAGAUUUUGGGGUUGGAUCACAGGAAAUCAAUCUCCUCCUCUGACUUCUUGGCCGUCUUACAGUGGUACUGACUAAAUGACUGGAACUGGUACAUAAAUUCAUCGAUGAUAUCCCAGAGCCACUGGUUGGGCAGUUUAAGGGGGGCAGGCCCAUCUGCACUGAGGAUGUAGUUGAAGAGGUUGCAGUAGUUGUAAGAGGACUCAAACCUCUGCUGUAAGGAGGGUCCCCCUCUGACUUUGGCAUAUAUGUGUCUGUAAUAUAAUUCUUUGUACAAAAUCAGGAAGACAGCAUCGUUGCCAACCUGUGGAGCUAUGGCUUCGGCCUCAGGCCAAGUAGUAUUGUUAAAGAAUCUUUUAGUCAGCUUGGUCCAGCUGUUCUCAUAGAUGUCCUGGAUCUCAUACACCUUCUGGUCAAUGACAUCACUAGAGAUGCGACUGGCCUGAAGCUCGUAUACCUUCUGGUCAAUCAAAUCUGAGACAGUUUUGUGGAAAUAGUGGGUGAAGAGUUUUUGAUCACUUCAGGGAUCACCUGAUAGGUCUGUUGUUCAUACUCAUGUUCAUAAGCAAGGUCCUGCUUUGGAUCUCCUGUGUGCAUAUCAUAGUUGCCAGGGUAAGCGUAGGGAUCGUAAGCAGCCUCAGACUCAUAGUCAUCAGCUGGAUAAGACAUGGCUGCGGCACGAGUGAACCACCAGGAGACUAAUGGCACGCCUACCACAUGGUUUUCCAGGGACACUUGUACGACUUCAAUUUCCUACGAAAUCAAGUGGACAGUAUCCUAGAGGGUCUCCAGGCACAACGGACCUUACUUUAGAAGCAAAACAUAUGUGUUUACCAAUUCUAGUUAAACCUGAGACCCUCAGAGAAGAAUCCCCUCUUAUCUUCCUUUGAAAACCAGAAACAAAAUUACUGACCAAGUUCUUCAGAAACUGCUUCGUGGUGAAGGGCUCUUUCCAUCCAGUGUAGGACCACGGUCGUGAGGAUCAGCUCUGCGAUGGUGCUGAGCAGUAAAUAGUGUAUGAGCAUCAUGCCAGCCAUCUGCAGUGGGAAGACGAGAUAUUCCACACGUCAGCAAGCCAUGGAAAGCCGCGCUAGAACAACAUUUACCAAACAGGGAGUAGGUAUCAUUUAUCAUGGCAGUUUCACAUGACUGUGAUUGUUUCUGAGUAUUUUUCAUAACAACAAGUACAUUUUAAGUUGACUACUUCUGUACAUACCUCUGAAGCACUUUAAUUCUAAGAGCAACCCUGCAAGCGGACACCAAUAUUCCUAUUUUACACAGGACAAGGCUGGAAAGUAGAGAUCAGAGACUGGCACCAUACUCAGCUGGAGCUCUGCAGAAGUUGGCCCCGGAGCUCUUGUGUUUCUCGCUUGCUUCAGUGAGGCUGAUCAGAUGACUAUGCCCAAUGCUAUGUGGCUUAGCUGUGUGUUCUGUUUUCAUUACUUUCCAUGGCCUGCGUGUUAUUUCAUGAAUCAGGUGCAGUGCUCUCUCCACGUUCCUAGCAAAACCUAGAGGAAGUGUUUCUUCUUUCUCAGAAACAGGUGAAAAGAGUUUGCAGUAUUUCUCCUUUGUGUCCACUCACAUCUCCCCACAUCAAGAGCAAGGACUUGGGUGAGCAGUAAUUUGGAGAGAAGGAACUCAGACCUUUCCUCUUUCCCCCCACCUGGAAAGGGCUCUGUUUGUAAUGCCAACUUCUUCCCUUCAAUGUCAGAUAAUUGUCUGCGCUCCAGGAAACCCUGGCCUGCAGUCUCUCUAGGUGGAGAAGCCUAACUGGGACCUACCUAGGUGAAUGUAUUUAAGUCAGGAAGGGCAGUGCCAGCGAGUUCAUUUGGCUAAAGACUUGAAACUUGCUCUCCCACAGUGAUCAUCAGCACAAAGGCUGGUAGCUUUGUCUACUUUCUCUUGAUCUUGUAUCUCAUUUUCCUUGGUUCAGGACGUGAGAAAGGGAGAACUGGAGGUGCAACCCGAGACAGCACACUUAUCUGAACCACCAAUGGAACCCCACUCUUGCAAGAGAAAGUGGACUUCAGACUCCAACAUAACAUGCACUGUAUCAAAACCAUCAAUCAGAGCUAAAGAAGCCAUAGGGAAAAUGUACUGAGAAGUCCAAUUGGAAUGAAGCUCAACACUACCCAACAAAUCAAUAUCCCAAGACAUAUCAUCAAGAAAAGAGUGCUCCUCAAGGAGGACCUUACAUAAAAGUGGGAGAGAUCCAGUCCCACGGAUGUGCAUAUCUCAACAGAGAAAUACAAAAAAUGUGAAAAAACAAGGAACCACUGAUCCUCCAAAGAUUCCUAAGUCUAGUAACUGCUUCCAAAGUUGCUGAAGUAGAUAAAACAUUUACAAAGAAAUUUAAAAAUGAUUUAAAAUGUUAGAUUCAAAAGGGAUAUAAAUAAAUAGCUGAAUGAAUUAAAAAAGAUAAUGUGGGCUAUGAAAGAGCAAUUCAAUAAAGAGGUAGAGAUUUUGAAAAAAGAACCAAACAGAAAUCUUAGAAAUGAAAAGCUCAAUAAGGCAAUUAAAAAAAAACUCAGUUGAAAGCCUAGUAGACAAGGCCAAGUAGAAGAAAAAAAUAGCAGGGCUUGAUAAAAAGGGGUGAUGAAUUAUCACACUCAGAAAGUAAAGAAGAGAAAAGAAACAGCAAAACAUGCAAGAUCUACAGAACACAAUUAAAAAUAUCAAACAUGUAUAACUGGAAUAAAUGAGUGAGAAUAGUUACAGGCUAAUAGCAUAAGAACCCUAAUCAGUGAGAUAACAGAAAUAUCUCCAAAUCUUGGGGAAGGUGUGGAUGUCCAGAUACAGAAGGCAUUUAGAACUUCAAACAGACACAGUCAGAAAAGAACCUUCCCUGGCAUAAGAUAGUAAAACUGCUAAAAAUUUAAGAACAAAGAAAGAUUGUUAAAAGCUGCAGAUGAGAAAUGUUAAGUCACAUAAAGGCAAACCCAUAAGAAAAACAGAUUUCUCAGCAGAAACUGUAAAUACCAAAAAGGAAGGGAGUAAUGUAUUUCAAGAUGCAAGAGAAAAUACUGUCAACCUAGACUACUGUAUUCAGUAAGGUCAUUUUUAAGAAUCAAAGUAGAAGUAAAAGCCUUCUAACAUAAGCACAGACUAAAGGAAUUUAUGAAUACAAAACUAACAUUAUGUAUACAAAACUGUGAGAGUAUAAGAAGAAUAAAAUUCAUUAGGAUAGUAAAUGAGCAAAUAAGAAUUAGAAAAGAAUCAAACAUUAUUCUACUGAAAUCUCUAAGAUAAACAGUAGAGAAAUAAAUGAACAUAAAUUAUUCAAAAUAACCAGAAGAAAAACAACAUGACACGAACUAGUAUACACAUUCAAUAAUAAACCUGAGUGUAAAUGGUCUGAAUUCUACAAUGAAGAGCUGACAAAUGGCUGAAUGCAUUCAAAAAGAAAGGCCCAACAACAAGCUGCCUUCAAGAAACUCACCUUGCUGCCAAAACCAUACACAGACUGAAAGUGAAAGGACAGAAAAUGACGUUUCAUGAUGUAGUGGCUACCUGGGUAAUGUUAGAACUUAAAGGUAAAAUAAAAAUCCCUUAAUGCCCA